rnacentral:rRNA from 1 species
UACGUAGGGGGCUAGCGUUGUCCGGAAUCAUUGGGCGUAAAGAGCGUGUAGGCGGUCCGGUAAGUCCGCUGUGAAAGUCGGGGGCUCAACCCUCGAAUGCCGGUGGAUACUGUCGGGCUAGAGUGCGGUAGGGGAGAUUGGAAUUCCUGGUGUAGCGGUGGAAUGCGCAGAUAUCAGGAGGAACACCAAUGGCGAAGGCAGAUCUCUGGGCCGUAACUGACGCUGAGGAGCGAAAGCAUGGGGAGCGAACAGG